AAUUAAUGAACUUGAAUAAGUAUAUGUUUUGAAAACAUAAUAUGGACGUAAAACCGUCUAUUAAUUU
rnacentral:tRNA from 1 species